AAACCAGCUUGUCAAGGGAGCAGGCAUCUUUACAGCCCUUACCAUUCCGUACAGGAGAGUAAUAUGCCUUUUAAAGUUUGGAAAAGAUAGAACUCCGAGAGGACUUUGAAAACUUGGCGAUAAAAGUGGGGCCCUUUGUGCAAAGCUAGUGACGGGCAAAUUAUGGGCGUGUUUGGGGGGGUUUCAAGAGAACGGGUAUGUAAAAAUGUUGAGUUCAGGACCACAGACCCCUCCGCCGGGAGAUACCACUGCGGAGACGGGGGACGCCUGAAAUGGUACGGACAUCCCUGGUACCUAUUACCGGGGAAAAAGGAUGCAGAGCCGGUGAUAAUACAUUCCUCCACCGGUCAGUAUCAGUGGGGAGAUGGGGAGAACGUGUGGAGCUGGUACUCCUCUCAAGAAAAUAACAGUAGGGAGAUAGAUACUAUUAAGCUAGCGGUGGCGAAGGCUCAGGUUGGUACAGUCCGUUGUGGGAGAUACCACUGGUGCAAAUAGGGAGGUGUGGUACAAUCUGCCCACGGAGAAAGAAACGUGAAGAAAGUGACAUUGGUAAACAUAGGCGCAGGGAGAGUUGGAGACAUAAGCCCAGGGAUAAAGGGGCCCAGGUGAGGUGGAAUAUUAGUCGGAGACUAGGUGAGAAGACAGAUCUGAUCGCGACCCCGCCAGGACUACAUUCCAUCCUCCUCCUGGGAAACUGUUGCAGAGAGAUUUGAGAGGGCGGAGAUUCCAGGGUCCCAGUCCUAUGAGGCCUCCCUGAGGCCUAGGGGAAUAAACAGGAGACAGACAGUGAUCAGGUUCCGGACCUCAAACACUCUCCCCUAUUAAUCAUAUUCUACCAAUUGAUCACCUGAAAGAAAAUGCACAGGUGAGCCCUUUCAGCUUAUUGCAAUAGGGAAAACUUUUCUUAAUGAGGAACAUCCCAAAGACAAGGAAAGAGACCUCGGGUUGUAUAGAGGCAGAGGUGAUGUGAAAACACAGUAAGAAGGCAGUUGUCUGCAAGCCUUAUGGCUUUCUUUAUAGAGAACCCUCACCAGGAACCAAAUCAGCUGGCCCCUUCAUCUUGGACUUCUCCCAGCCUCCAGAACUAUGCCAAAUAAACUUCUGGUUUAACCCGUCCAGUCUGUGGCAUUUUAUUAUGGCAGCCCAAGCAGGUAAUCCAGGGACUUUUGCAGUUAGCCCUUUGCUGGAACCCCAAAGGGAGCCAGGGGCUGUGAGAAUUUUGUAACCAUGACUGCUUUCCAGGAGCACAGGACCCACUCAGAUAUAAAGUAACAGCAUCACUCCCCUUCCAGCUCACUCUGCCCCUCAUGGCUCCUACUCCUUCCCACUCUACCAAUCAUUAACAUGUAUUCUCUCCCACGGUGCCCCCAAUUUCCCGCCAUUCAGUCACACUGCCAUUUUCUUUCAUUCAUUCUGCUUCAUGGCCACCAUUCACGCAUCUUGUACCCCAUAUAAACACCUUUCUUUUUAUUGUGGUAAAAUACACAUAACAUGAAACUUACUAUUUUAACUAUUUUACAUUGCAC
rnacentral:lncRNA from 10 species